rnacentral:rRNA from 1 species
UACGAAGGGGACUAGCGUUGUUCGGAUUUACUGGGCGUAAAGCGCGCGUAGGCGGAUCGCUAAGUCAGGGGUGGAAUCCCAGGGCUCAACCCUGGAACUGCCUUUGAUACUGACGAUCUGGAGAUCGGGAGAGGUUGGUGGAAUUCCGAGUGUAGAGGUGAAAUUCGUAGAUAUUCGGAGGAACACCAGAAGCGAAGGCGGCCAACUGGCCCGAUACUGACGCUGAGGCGCGAAAGCGUGGGGAGCAAACAGG